AGCGAACGCUGGCGGCAGGCCUAACACAUGCAAGUCGAACGAACCUUUCGGGGUUAGUGGCGGACGGGUGAGUAACACGUGGGAACGUGCCUUUAGGUUCGGAAUAACUCAGGGAAACUUGUGCUAAUACCGAAUGUGCCCUUCGGGGGCAAGAUUUAUCGCCUUUAGAGCGGCCCGCGUCUGAUUAGCUAGUUGGUUGAGGUAAUGGCGCACCAAGGCGACGAUCAGUAGCUGGUCUGAGAGGAUGAUCAGCCACAUUGGGACUGAGACACGGCCCAAACUCCUACGGGAGGCAGCAGUGGGGAAUCUUGCGCAAUGGGCGAAAGCCUGACGCAGCCAUGCCGCGUGAAUGAUGAAGGUCUUAGGAUUGUAAAAUUCUUUCACCGGGGACGAUAAUGACGGUACCCGGAGAAGAAGCCCCGGCUAACUUCGUG
rnacentral:rRNA from 1 species